AUAUGAACGAAUCCUACCAUCUUACGCAUGAACUCACAUUCCAGCUGAACUUUAUCAUCCAAAGAUCAGGAUUACAUUUUACAGGGCGAUGGCAGGACAGAGGCAGGGCUGCUGGAGUUUGAAGCUCCUGGUCAUCCUCAGCCUCCUCAGCCUCACUGAAGAGUUCGAGGUGAGAGAUGAUGAGUGGGAGGAACUCGGCUCUGACAUCGCUGCACUGCAUCAACUCCAAGGACUGUCUGAACAUAUGUUUGAUGAAAAGCUUAUGAACUCCUCAACAACCAGGGGAAAUGGCUACCACCUGUCAAGAUUUGGAAGAUCUGUAAAAAGGACUUUAAUGCCUUCUUGGCACAUAUUGACAAACAGAAGGUACAAGACUGGUUGCUGGGUGCUUCAGAGAUCUCCCACAGCUACAGCCAAAAACUUCUGAUCAUGACCGACAGAGAAAAAUCCACCAGUGACAGAGUCCAGCAGGAAUACAGCAUGGAUCCUCAUUACUCCGUGAAAGUCAC
ensembl:lncRNA